GUGGGGAAUAUUGCGCAAUGGGCGAAAGCCUGACCGAGCAACGCCGCGUGAGUGAAGAAGGCCUUCGGGUCGUAAAGCUCUGUUAUGAAGGAAGAACGUCCAUCAUAGGAAAUGAUGGUGGAGUGACGGUACUUCAUGAGAAAGCCACGGCUAACUACGUGCCAGCAGCCGCGGUAAUACGUAGGUGGCGAGCGUUAUCCGAAAUCAUUGGGCGUAAAGAGGGAGCAGGCGGCGAUAGAGGUCUGCGGUGAAAGCCUGAAGCUAAACUUCAGCGAGCCGCGGAAAGCAGAUGGCUAGAGUGCGGUAGAGGAUCGUGGAAUUCCAUGUGUAGCGGUGAAAUGCGUAGAUAUAUGGAAGAACACCAGUGGCGAAGGCGACGAUCUGGGCCUGCACUGACGCUCAGUCCCGAAAGCGUGGGGAGCAAAUAGGAUUAGAUACCCGUGUAGUCC
rnacentral:rRNA from 1 species